GAUGAACGCUGGCGGCGUGCCUAAUACAUGCAAGUCGAGCGAACGGACGAGAAGCUUGCUUCUCUGAUGUUAGCGGCGGACGGGUGAGUAACACGUGGAUAACCUACCUAUAAGACUGGGAUAACUUCGGGAAACCGGAGCUAAUACCGGAUAAUAUUUUGAACCGCAUGGUUCAAAAGUGAAAGACGGUCUUGCUGUCACUUAUAGAUGGAUCCGCGCUGCAUUAGCUAGUUGGUAAGGUAACGGCUUACCAAGGCAACGAUGCAUAGCCGACCUGAGAGGGUGAUCGGCCACACUGGAACUGAGACACGGUCCAGACUCCUACGGGAGGCAGCAGUAGGGAAUCUUCCGCAAUGGGCGAAAGCCUGACGGAGCAACGCCGCGUGAGUGGUGAAGGUCUUCGGAUCGUAAAACUCUGUUAUUAGGGAAGAACAUAUGUGUAAGUAACUGUGCACAUCUUGACGGUACCUAAUCAGAAAGCCACGGCUAACUACGUGCCAGCAGCCGCGGUAAUACGUAGGUGGCAAGCGUUAUCCGGAAUUAUUGGGCGUAAAGCGCGCGUAGGCGGUUUUUUAAGUCUGAUGUGAAAGCCCACGGCUCAACCGUGGAGGGUCAUUGGAAACUGGAAAACUUGAGUGCAGAAGAGGAAAGUGGAAUUCCAUGUGUAGCGGUGAAAUGCGCAGAGAUAUGGAGGAACACCAGUGGCGAAGGCGACUUUCUGGUCUGUAACUGACGCUGAUGUGCGAAAGCGUGGGGAUCAAACAGGAUUAGAUACCCUGGUAGUCCACGCCGUAAACGAUGAGUGCUAAGUGUUAGGGGGUUUCCGCCCCUUAGUGCUGCAGCUAACGCAUUAAGCACUCCGCCUAGGGAGUACGACCGCAAGGUUGAAACUCAAAGGAAUUGACGGGGACCCGCACAAGCGGUGGAGCAUGUGGUUUAAUUCGAAGCAACGCGAAGAACCUUACCAAAUCUUGACAUCCUUUGACAACUCUAGAGAUAGAGCCUUCCCCUUCGGGGGACAAAGUGACAGGUGGUGCAUGGUUGUCGUCAGCUCGUGUCGUGAGAUGUUGGGUUAAGUCCCGCAACGAGCGCAACCCUUAAGCUUAGUUGCCAUCAUUAAGUUGGGCACUCUAAGUUGACUGCCGGUGACAAACCGGAGGAAGGUGGGGAUGACGUCAAAUCAUCAUGCCCCUUAUGAUUUGGGCUACACACGUGCUACAAUGGACAAUACAAAGGGCAGCGAAACCGCGAGGUCAAGCAAAUCCCAUAAAGUUGUUCUCAGUUCGGAUUGUAGUCUGCAACUCGACUACAUGAAGCUGGAAUCGCUGGUAAUCGUAGAUCAGCAUGCUACGGUGAAUACGUUCCCGGGUCU
rnacentral:rRNA from 1 species